UGGGGAAUUUUGCACAAUGGGCGGCAAGCCUGACGAAGCAACGCCGCGUGGGGGAUGAAGGCCUUCGGGUCGUAAACCCCUGUCGACCGGGACGAAACCAGUCCGACCUAAUACGUCGGGCUGUUGACUGUACCGGUGGAGGAAGCCACGGCUAACUCUGUGCCAGCAGCCGCGGUAAUACGUAGGGCGCAAGCGUUAAUCGGAUUUACUGGGCGUAAAGCGCGUGCAGGCGGUUCGGUAAGUCGGACGUGAAAGCUCCUGGCUCAACUGGGAGAGGCCGUUCGAUACUACCGAACUAGAGGGCAGGAGAGGGAGGUGGAAUUCCGGGUGUAGCGGUGAAAUGCGUAGAUCCGGAGGAACACCAGUGGCGAAGGCGGCCUCCUAGUCUGCCCCUGACGCUCAGACGCGAAAGCUAGGGGAGCGAACGGGAUUAGAAACCCCGGUAGUCCUAGCUGUAAACGAUGCGGACUUGGUGUGGGUGGCUUAAACUCCAUCCGUGCCGUAGCUAACGCGAUAAGUCCGCCGCCUGGGGACUACGACCGCAAGGUUA
rnacentral:rRNA from 1 species